rnacentral:pre_miRNA from 1 species
AGCCCUCUGUAUCCGUGCUGAGAUUUUGUCAGAGAUCAACCCGUCGGGGCUGAUAGCACUUCCCAAAUAAGUGAAGCG